GUGGUUGCUGGGAAUUGAACUCA
rnacentral:piRNA from 1 species